GAAGGGAAAUAUGGACUCUGGAUGUCCAUUUCUGAGGUGUCAAUCUGGUGCUCGGCUAUAUAGUACAGGGAAGAGUUCUUCUAGAUCCUAAUACAGGUAAUCUGAUUCAUAGCUUAGGUGCAUUUUUCUUUAUUCAUAGUUAGCUAAUAGCAAUAACAUCUGCACUUUCCCUACAACCUAUAUUGAAGGUAAAGUAAUGAUUUCACAUAUGCACUUUCCCUACAACCUAUAUCGAAGGUACUAACUGCAAUAUUUUCCAUAUGAACCUGAUAAAGAUAGUACUAAUACCUUGAAUUUCUACAAAGAAUAGGUGACACCAAGUUGCCAACCAUUUUUGGACCUGUCAUCUUUUUCCCCACUAGGGCGCUUCCUUCAAAUUUAUCAUGGGUGCCCUCAAGUUGACACGCUUGUUCUUAUUGUUGCUUACGUAUGAAUUUCCUGAGAGCUGCUUACGUAUUUUUUAUUCAUGAAUUACAUGACCAAUGAGUCAGGUGUGAAGAUGCUUUAUAAAUCAAGACAACCAACAUGCUGAAAUUUUGGAGCAAUUGCUGAAGGAAAGUACCACUUACUCUUGUUUCUAGUAGAUUUCAUCAUUUUAUUCUUAGAGUCAGCUACAUAGUUAAUAUUGCAAAACUUAUAGUUCAUGGUGAAGGAAAGUACCUAUUGCAAGUAGACUUCAUCAUCUUAUUCUUAGAGACAGCUACAUAUGGUUAAUAUUGCAAAACUUGAAGUUCCGGUUUGUGAUAUGUACGUCCCCCUCUGCAGAAAUGCUUAAUACUACUAUGAGAAAAGUAGGGAAAUGCUCACCCUCUGCAAAAUGUAUUGGUUCGUCUCGCGGUCUCACCCCCAAAAAUAGAGGAGAGGAGCAAGGAGCUCCUCCAUCACACUCGUAGGCUCCAAGGAGCCCGCCGCCAUGCAUGGAGGAGAGGAGCAGGGAGCUCCGCCGCCGCAUAAGGUUAUAUCCAUUGUUGCAUCUUGUAAUUAUUAAUUUGGAAUAAAUCAUGCAAUUGGCAUUUAUAUAAGUUUGUAGGCAAACCAAGUCUGCAACUUUUGAAUAUUAUACUCGGUGAGUUGCUCAACUACUUACAGUCCUAUUACUUGAGACUUAUACUUGAUCAGUUGCCGUGUACAUUAUUAUGACAUAGAUGAAACCAUGUCUAUGUUGAAGCUAGAUGGAACUGACCAUCUAAACAUAUGUCAAAUUAUUGUGGUACAUGCUUCAGUACUGCAAGUUGGAGUAGCAAGUAAGUAUAAAUCAAAAGAAAGUAUUGCUUCAGUACUGACCAUCUAAAAAGUUCAGUUGUUUAUUGACAUAUGCAUCUUGUUCAUCCUUUUGUUAUUGAAUUUGGAAACGCGUGUAAGGUUUCCGUAUCUUGAAGUUAUGAAUACUGAGAAGUGCAAGCCUUUCUCUUCUAGAAAUUACGGAAUUGGCUCACACACUAUCAAAUAAUUUGAUGCACUCUUUUUUUAUUUUAAAUGGUUAGGAGGAACAAGUGAAGGCUUCUAUUUUGGAUCAGUUCUUUUAUUGCAUAGUUGGAUAACAAUUUCUUAAUGAUUAUUAGAAUGAUACUCAAACAUAUGAACGUUCUCCAUAAUCAGAUUAAAUCACUCCUGCAGCCUGCAACUGUAGUAAAUAAAAUUAUUUAGAUUCAAGCUAAAAAAGAAUUAUUCAGAUUCUACCAUGUAUCUACUUACAAACUAAAAGAGAAUGUAACCAUAUAAUGAUUAUUUAGAUUCAAGCUAGAAAAGAAUUAUCCACACGCCAACAAUUUAGGUAAGAGAUUUAUGCCCCGCUUGGAAUCGGUGUAUCUAUAUCCUGUAUUUAUUUUACAAGUGUAUUUUACCGGCCACGCUUGAUAAUCCACCUGGAUAAAAAAAGAUGGAUGGAGGCGUGUAAGUUUUACAGGUGUAUAGCGCUCUGAAACGAGAAUCCAAUCAGGCCCUUAGAUUAUUUGUGUAGGUUAUUAUAAUAUAUAAUGCAGAGAUCUCAGGGUAUAAGGUGCAGCAAUAAGUCUUGGUUUUAUUUUGCAUUUUGAGUACUGAAUUACAAAAGAUAUGAUGCUUGCACGAAAUUUCAGUGUCAUGAUAAUUUUCACUUCACAAAAAGAUUGAAACAUUGCUCGUACAACUGUGGUACCUGUUUGCUGUGAUGGAAGGUUACGGGUAAGCUCACUUAUCACAGGAAAGAAAUGAUUGGUUCAGUGUGCUUCACGAAAUUAACUUGCCACUGCAACACAAUUUACAGUUCAUCAGUUUUGAGCCUAAGUUCCAUUUUAUUGAUGCUUCCUUUAUACAUAGAUUUAUUGGCUUGCCUCUUCUUCUGCCAUUUGAUUUCCUUCAGAUUACUUGCAUCAUAAAUUUCAAGGUUACAGAUCUGGCACUGAAUGAGACAAUCAUUAUUAGGAUUGAAGGAUGCUUCAAUGAUGCUGUCAGCAGUAAGAAACACUUGCAAAUUAUUAAAACAAAAUGGCCUGCCGAGAUCAAUAUCGGUGACAUAGAUAGCUUUAAUGGGAUGAUGAAGCAUUUGACCUGAGACGAGUGUCGGGAGGGGCUAAGCAUGAUUGCGACGAGGGCGAGACGUUGCUGCGACCGUGACCGCAACCGGUGGAGCGAGGCGCCAGUGAUCGUGUUUUCCGCUGGUGUUUUUGAUCUGCCGUGCUCGGUUUUUGGCAGCUUCGAUCCAAUUGAUCCCCUCCAGAAGCAUUCAGGCGUCCAGAGGUUCAACUGCGUGGGCAGGAGCUCGGCCACUGAAUGCAGGCGUCCAGAGGUUCAACUGCGUGGGCAGGAGCUCGGUUGGUUUGCUUAUAUGCAUUUUUCUUCUUCAACAUUGGAUUAUUUUGGUAGUUCAUGCAUGUCCGUCCUCUUUAUAUGGUUUUUCUCAUAAUUCACGCCCCAAAGAUAGGUUCUUUUAGUUACUACAUAUUUUAGUUUUUUCUGCUUACUGUCAUGUCCACUUUCUUGUCUGAUUAAGCAACUAAUAUAUGAAUAUCUGUGCAUAGUUCUACCAUUUUUGCACUCACUUAUGGGGCCAUCUAUGUUGAGUUUGUUCUGCUAUUCUCCAACUUAAAUCAAGAAUGCAGUCUCAUGUCAUUGUCUUUGCUAAUACAGAUUGUAAUGCAAUCCAAUUGUAGUGUCAUGUUUCAGCUCCUUUUAUUUUAAUCGUGAUGUGCAUGGUUGUUCAUGUUCUCUUCUUGCCAUGCACUAAUCGAAGUGUACAUGUAGAUGCUCAAAAUUGCUUAUCAUCAAAUUACUUGACUUAUGUACUGCUUGGACUUGUUUAAUUAAAGAGACGUCUCUUUAAAUUGACUAUAUUUACUUUGUCACACAUCAUUUGGGUCUUCUGCAUUGCCGAGAGUUGUUACCCGAAAGUUCAUACAUUGUAUAAUUUCUUGUUAUCCUUCUGUGCAUGGAGUCAUCUUCUGGGUAGUACAAUCCAGGUCGACCAUGUUGAGAUAAUCAUCAUUUUAAUUAUGACAGCUUACCAAGUUUAAUAUUUCAGUUCUCCGAAACAUAAUCUGAUUAUGACAGCUUAUCAAAUUUAAUAUUCUGCACAUGGUGAACUUCAUCAAAUUAGGAUACGGAUACCUACUUGUUUUAUCAUUCUAUCAGCAACCUAAGCUCUUACUGUAAGAUAUUAAACCCAUUUGUAUUUCAGACCUUGCACGCUUCUGAUGGGGAAGAAAAAAGUGACUUGUCCCUAUGGAGACAAUGGAUCUCCUCUGUAUCAAGGCUGCCGGCGGAAGCUUACGCCAGUCGCCCGUGAUUCGUUCAAUCGCGUCUCAUCUACCGGUUCUCCCUAAUGCACACAUCCAGGCGAUUCAAUCCCCUCCUUCAUCCUUACCUCAUGAGGAAACCGCCAGCCACUCGUUCUGUCUCAUUCCUCUCAUCUCUCAAGCUCGUUUUGUCCCUCUCUCACAGCACCUUUUUUCUCCUUUUCAUCUAGCGUCACUACCGGACGUAGUUGCGAGGGUGAAUGUGGGGGGCAGGUGGCGAGCCGAAUGCAAGUGCGAGUGAGGCGUCUGGCACGGGCAGCAAGGACGAACGCGUGCACGAGCCGUGCUGCUGCAGGAGGUGCCGCAACGUGAUGCAACUGAGGAGGUACAACCGCCGGUUAGUGAAGCUGCAACUGUCAGAUGGUGCCUACAUUCAGACGGCCGGCUGCAAGCAUGGCGAGAUGGAAAGCUGCGACAGGCAAAGAUUUUUGUUGGAACCGGUGACAUGUUUUGUUGGGAUCGACAGGGCGAUGUGCUACGACGGUGACGCAGGGGCGGCGACGGUGUGUUGGGACCGGGAAGACGAAUAACUUCAACCGACAAUGAUAUUUGCUGGAACCAGUGGCAUGUUUUGUUGGGACCGGAGGAGCGACGUGCUUGCAUCGGUGACGGCGUGCGGGGACCAGCAAGACAAAAAGCUACAACCGCCAAUGAUUUUUGCUGGAACCAUUCAUGAUGACACCGCGACACGUGACGAGGGGGGGGGGUCGCGUUUUUGCUGCAUCUAUUAUCAUUUUUGCUACGCUCGAUGUUGAAGAUGCUAUGGUGACGGGGCUCGUCAUCUAUGCGGAGCUGCAACCAUUGGAAGGCCAGACAAGUGCUUCCUGCUUCCUAGGAAGGCAAGGAAUCAAGUACUGCAACGUCCGCCACUUUUUGCUGCGACAACCUUUGGAUGGGCGCAGCGAGCCGCGGUGCUGCAAGCGGUCGAUGAGGGGGUCAUGCGCUAUCUUUCCUACGACGAGGGACGGAACGAGCACCGAGGUGCCUCGAGCUGGUGGGCGCGAGAUGAAUUUUAGGCGGCUGUUCCAUGUCUAUUUUUGCUUGUUAUGACAGAGAUUGAGAUAGAUUAUGGCGAUAUUCAGCAACGAUCUAUCACAAGGGUCCUAAGACGAUGUUUUUGGAAGAGGCUAAAAAUUCAUUGA